GAGGUUUAGCUUAAUAAAGUGUUUGAGUGCAUUCAGAAGAUGUAUUUUAGAGUAAUACAGGCCUU
rnacentral:tRNA from 1 species